CACGCUUCCUCUGUCUGCCCCAAAGGCCACAUCUCCUGACGAAUUCCUUAUAGUACUUGUAGGUUCCAGGGGAAAUUUAAGGGAUGUGGCUUCUUCUGGAUCCUCUUUUGUGGUAAAAUACACAAGAAGAAUGCUGUAAAAAUCCCUUGUAGGCUUUUUCAGGUGUUUUCAUAUCACAGAAACCUCCUUGUUUCACAUGGAUAGGUCACAUGACUGAUUCAGGAAUGGGUCCAGUGAGUCUUCCACCCUGAAGGAUCAGUUCUGUCUUCCUUGUGCCUUCUUGACUCUAGAAAGUUCUCAUUUUAAUCCUUAUUUUCCUGGACUUUUUACUUUUUCUGCAAUCAACUCUCACAACUCUGCACCUAACCCGAUAUUUUACCUGGAUCCUUCAUAUUUAAAAUCUCCCUCACAGAAGGUGUCAGUGGAAACAUCAUGAUAACCCAGCCUCCUGUCUCCCUGACUGUGUCUCCAGGAGAAACGGUCACCAUCAGAGCAAGUCCAGCCAGAGUGUUAGCAAUGCCUUAACCUCUUACAAGCAGAAACCAGGAUAAUCUCCUAAGCUUCUUAUCUCCUUUGCAUCUACCUGGACUUCUGAGAUACCUGACAGGUUUAGUGGCAUUAGGUCUGGGACAGACUUCACUCUCAACAUCAGCAGCCUCCAGGCUGAGGAUGUGGCAGACUAUUGCUGUUAGCAACAUUAUGGCUACCCUCUCACAGUGCUUCAGCCUGGAACACAGGCCUCCUCACCAGGGCUGCAGGCCUGUGACUCUUCAAUGCACCUGCUGCUUCUUUCCCACACAGUCCUGAACAUGCACACUUCCUCUAACUGCCCCACAUGCCUCAUCUCCUGACUAGUUUCUUGGGCUCUUGAGGAAAGUAAAAGCCACGGACUUUUCUAAAUUCCUUUUUUCUGGGACAUUACUGUAGAAAUAUGCUGUAAAUAUUUCUUAUAGUCUUUGUCAUGCCAGGGAUUUUCGUAGUACAGAAACCUGCAUGUUUCACAUGGCUAGAUCACAAGGCUCAUAUGGAGAAGCACUCAGUGAGUUUUACACCCUGAGGGAUGAGUUGUCUCUUCCCUGUGCCAUCUUGACUGUGGGAUAUUCUCAAUUUAAUUCCUUCUUUUCCUGGCUUUUUCCUUUCUCUGUAAUUACCCCUUAACUCUUGACUUUCCCAAGAUUAAAUCUUUAAACCUUUGUAUAUAUAUAUUUUUUUAUUCUGAACCUCCCCCCGAAAAAGGUAGUAUUGCUCUCUUUCUUUUUCCUUCAACAGGUCCCCUUUUUGGUCAAACCUUCCUGGUCAAUGCCACUGAUGUUGUUUUUUUGUUCUACCUCCUUUUAUAUUGACCUUCCUCUUCUCUCCAUUUCUUUCAGUGGUAUUCAUUCUUUCAAAAGCUAGUGUCUAAUUCAUCAACCUCUACCACUCUAUAAAUAUCUGAUAUUAUUCCCACAUCUUUUUUCAUUAACUGACAACUUUAAGUUCACCCCCUGGGCAACCCAAUCUAAUUUGUUGACUGAAGGAAGUCAUGGUCCUUUUUUGUUGUUAGCUGCUGUGGCUCCUACAACAAUGGUGAAUUCAUGCAGAAUGGGAUCGGGUCAUGGUGAUUCAUAGGCUUGUCACUGGCUAAUUUUUCUAUGUUGAUCUCCAGGCCUCUCUUCCUAGUUGGUCUUAGUCUGGAAGUUUCCCUAAAAUCUGUUCAAUGCCAUAGCAAUAUGCAAGCUUCCACUGACAGAGGAGUAGGGCCUGUGUUUGAGGAGCAUUGGCUGGGCAUCAAACCCAGGUCUCCUGCAUGGAGUCAAGAAUUCCACCACUGAACCAUCGCUGCCACCCAAGGUUCUUUGUUCAGCUAUAGCUGAAUCCUUCUGACAACAUUUAAUUAACAUUCUCAUCUCACUGUAAUAAUACAAAAACUCCAGGUGUUCUAGUGUUACUUCUGUAUCUCCUUCUGAAAUACAGGUAUUGAUAAAAUUUGGCAUCAGAGUGAUCUCAAAAAAACUUGAUCAGUAUACUGUGAACAUUCCUAUGUAUAUAAAAGCACCUUCUCUCUAAAGAUGAGAAAUAUUUUCAAAGACUGAAUGUUAAAGUUUCCAUGUCAUUUAUUCACUCAAGGUAUAUAAAUUGAGAGCUUACUAUGUGUCAUACUCAGAUACAUUGCUUUCAUCCUAGUUGGGGAAGAGGGAAAAGUAACACAUGGAUAGGAAUAAAUUUAUUAAGUAAUUUUGUAACUGGCAUGAAGAAAAAUAAAGAGGGGGAAGGAAUGAGAGCUUGCUGGUGUAAGAUGUUGUCUUUGUUAUCUUGUGCUGUUAUAACUGAAAUAUCACCAGGGGAUGGGUUUAAUGAAGUGAAGUUUAUUCUCUCACAGUCUAGGAGGAGAGAAGACCCAAUUAAGAAUGCCAGCUCUAGUAGGAGGCUUUCUCUGUCUGUCGGCUCUGGAGAAAGGUCUUUGUCAUCAACCUUCCCCUGGUCUAGGAGCUUCUAAGUGCAGGGUCACCCAGUCCAAAGAAUGAGCUCCCCUUCUGGUUCUUCACUCUUGGUGGUAGAAGUCUCUACUCUCUGCUUGAGUCUCUCUUUUAUAUUUCAAAAGAGAUCAAGUCAAGGUAAACCUAAUCCUGUAGUUUGAGCCCUGAAUCAGUAGUGUAAAUGCCUCUAAUUCUGCCUCAUUAACAUCAUAGAUGUAGGAUUGAUAACACAUAGAAGAAUCCCUUCAGAUCAAAAAACCUUGGUCAACUAGACAGAACUGGAAAUUAUGGCCUAGCCAAUUUGACAUACAUUUUUGUGGGACACAAUUCAAUCCACAACAGAGGAGUAGCAAUUUGAAUAAGGGUGAUGUAUCAGUUAGCUCUUGCCCUCCACAUAAAUCAUCCACAAAACCCAGUGGCUAAAAGCAAUAAGCAUUUUUAUUGCUUUCAUGUUUAUUGGUGAGUUGGACCAAUAAAGAGUUCUGUUGAUAUGGA